AUGCCUCUCCUUACCUCCCUCUUUCUCUUCCUUCUGUGUGGUGGCUCCACAUUUUCCACAGGGAGGGGUUUUAGUGUGGAAGGGCAGGUCAGCUUCACUUCACUCUCACUCUUCACGGGACAGAAAUGGGGGGGGAGGGGCAGAGUGAAGUUCAGACAGAGGAGAGAAAGCUUUAGAACAGAAGCCAUGCUGCAGCCUCAGUGCUUACCCUGUCCUUGCUGUCACCUUCCUCCUCAGCCCACAGUGCAGGUGUGGGUGCAGGGCAGGGGGUGCCAUGGGCCUCCCAAGAACAGAAAGCUAGAGCAACUCUCGAGCCCUCCUCUCCAUGACUCUUCCCCUGGGGCUUGUCUCCUCCCUGCCUCUCCCGCUCCCUGUCACACCUUUCCUUCCCUCUCCAUUUCUGCCUCUGUGCCAGAUGGUGGCUGCACGCACUUCCCUCAGGUGCAAAGUUCUCACACAUGUGCAGAGCCCUUGCCCACAUCUGCCUGCUCUCGGCUCCCAGCUCUUCCUGCACUGCUUCUGCCCUUCCUCCUCAUCCCUCCUCCCUCUCCCACUCUUAAUCCAUCUCCUCCUCCUCAGCCUCCUCCUCCUCCAACUCCAUCUCCUCCUCCUCCAUCUCCUCCUCCUCCAUCUCCCACUCUUAAUCCAUCUCCUCCUCCUCAGCCUCCUCCUCCUCCAACUCCAUCUCCUCCUCCUCCAUCUCCCACUCCUACUCCAUCUCCUCCUCAUCCUCCAUCUCAUUCUUCAGCUCCUCCUUCUCCAUCUCUUCUUCCUCCAUCUCCUCCUCCUCCUGCAGCUCCUCAAUCUCAUCCUCCUCCAACACCAUCUCCUCCUCCUCAUCUCCUCUUUCUCCUCUUCUAUUUCCUUCUCCAUCUCCUCCAUCUCUUCCCUCUCUUCCAUCUCCUCCUUCUCCAUCUCCUCCUUUAUCUCCUCUUUCUCCUCCUCCAUCUCCUCCCUCUCUUCCUCAUCUCCUCCUCCUCCACCUCCUCCUUCAUCUCUUCCUCCUCCUCUAUCUCUCCUCUAUCUCCUCUUCCUCCAUCUCCUCCUUCUCCAUCUCUGCCUCUAUCUUCUCCUCCUUCAUCUCCCCUCUCUUCUCCAUCUCCUCCUCCUCAUCUCCUCCUUCAUCUUUCUUUUCCUCCAUCUCCUCCAUCUCCUCCCUUUCUUCCUUUUCCAUCUCCUGCUCAAUCUCCUCCUUCAUCUCCUCUUUCUUCUCCUCCAUCUCCUUCCUCUCUUCUUCCAUCUCCUCCUCCAGCUCCUCCUUCAUCUUUCUCUUCCUCCUUCCCUCCUCUCUUCCUCUAUCUCCCCCUCCUUCUCCAUCUUCUACUCUAUCUCCUCCUCUUCCUUUAUCUCUCCUCCAUCUCCUCCUCCUCCAUCUCCUCCUCCACUCCUCCACCUUCAUCUCCUCUUACUUCUCUAUAUCCUUCCUCUACUCUUCCAUCCCCUCCUUCAUCUCCUCUUUCUUCUCCUCCAUCACCUCUCUUCCUGUAUCUCCUCCUCUUCUUCCAUCUCCUCCUCUACCUCUUCCUCAUCCUUCUCCUUCUCUAUCUUUCCUUCUCCAUCUCCUCCUCUUCUCUAUCUCCUCCUUCAUCUCCUCUCUCUUCCUCCAUGUCCUCCUCCUCCACGUCCUUCUCUUCUUCUGUCUCCCACUCUUGCUCCAUCUUUCCUCCACCUCCAUCUCCUCCUUCACCUCUUCUAUUUCCCCCUCCUCCAUCUUUUUCCAUCUCUUCCUCUACCUCCUCCUCCUCCUCCAUUUUCUCCUCUAUCUCCUCCUCCAUCUCCUAUUUUAUCUCCUCCUCCUCCAUCUCUUCAUGCUUCUCCUCCAUCUGCUAG
ensembl:lncRNA